rnacentral:rRNA from 1 species
CGGCGUGCUUAACACAUGCAAGUCGAGGGGCAUCAGGAAGAAAGCUUGCUUUCUUUGCUGGCGACCGGCGCACGGGUGAGUAACACGUAUCCAACCUGCCCUUUACUCGGGGAUAGCCUUUCGAAAGAAAGAUUAAUACCCGAUGGCAUAAUGAUUCCGCAUGGUUUCAUUAUUAAAGGAUUCCGGUAAAGGAUGGGGAUGCGUUCCAUUAGGUUGUUGGUGAGGUAACGGCUCACCAAGCCUUCGAUGGAUAGGGGUUCUGAGAGGAAGGUCCCCCACAUUGGAACUGAGACACGGUCCAAACUCCUACGGGAGGCAGCAGUGAGGAAUAUUGGUCAAUGGGCGCUAGCCUGAACCAGCCAAGUAGCGUGAAGGAUGAAGGCUCUAUGGGUCGUAAACUUCUUUUAUAUAAGAAUAAAGUGCAGUAUGUAUACUGUUUUGUAUGUAUUAUAUGAAUAAGGAUCGGCUAACUCCGUGCCAGCAGCCGCGGUAAUACGGAGGAUCCGAGCGUUAUCCGGAUUUAUUGGGUUUAAAGGGAGCGUAGGUGGACUGGUAAGUCAGUUGUGAAAGUUUGCGGCUCAACCGUAAAAUUGCAGUUGAUACUGUCAGUCUUGAGUACAGUAGAGGUGGGCGGAAUUCGUGGUGUAGCGGUGAAAUGCUUAGAUAUCACGAAGAACUCCGAUUGCGAAGGCAGCUCACUGGACUGCAACUGACACUGAUGCUCGAAAGUGUGGGUAUCAAACAGGAUUAGAUACCCUGGUAGUCCACACAGUAAACGAUGAAUACUCGCUGUUUGCGAUAUACAGUAAGCGGCCAAGCGAAAGCAUUAAGUAUUCCACCUGGGGAGUACGCCGGCAACGGUGAAACUCAAAGGAAUUGACGGGGGCCCGCACAAGCGGAGGAACAUGUGGUUUAAUUCGAUGAUACGCGAGGAACCUUACCCGGGCUUAAAUUGCAGUGGAAUGAUGUGGAAACAUGUCAGUGAGCAAUCACCGCUGUGAAGGUGCUGCAUGGUUGUCGUCAGCUCGUGCCGUGAGGUGUCGGCUUAAGUGCCAUAACGAGCGCAACCCUUAUCUUUAGUUACUAACAGGUUAUGCUGAGGACUCUAGAGAGACUGCCGUCGUAAGAUGUGAGGAAGGUGGGGAUGACGUCAAAUCAGCACGGCCCUUACGUCCGGGGCUACACACGUGUUACAAUGGGGGGGUACAGAAGGCAGCUAGCGGGUGACCGUAUGCUAAUCCCAAAAUCCUCUCUCAGUUCGGAUCGAAGUCUGCAACCCGACUUCGUGAAGCUGGAUUCGCUAGUAAUCGCGCAUCAGCCACGGCGCGGUGAAUACGUUCCCGGGCCUUGUACACACCGCCCGUCAAGCCAUGGGAGCCGGGGGUACCUGAAGUACGUAACCGCAAGGAUCGUCCUAGGGUAAAACUGGUGACUGGGGCUAAGU